rnacentral:rRNA from 1 species
AUUGAACGCUGGCGGCAGGCUUAACACGUGCAAGUCGAGCGGGGUGAUGGUGCUUGCACUAUCACUUAGCGGCGGACGGGUGAGUAAUGCUUAGGAAUCUGCCUAUUAGUGGGGGACAACAUCUCGAAAGGGAUGCUAAUACCGCAUACGUCCUACGGGAGAAAGCAGGGGAUCACUUGUGACCUUGCGCUAAUAGAUGAGCCUAAGUCGGAUUAGCUAGUUGGUGGGGUAAAGGCCUACCAAGGCGACGAUCUGUAGCGGGUCUGAGAGGAUGAUCCGCCACACUGGGACUGAGACACGGCCCAGACUCCUACGGGAGGCAGCAGUGGGGAAUAUUGGACAAUGGGGGGAACCCUGAUCCAGCCAUGCCGCGUGUGUGAAGAAGGCCUUAUGGUUGUAAAGCACUUUAAGCGAGGAGGAGGCUUACCUAGUUAAUACCUGGGAUAAGUGGACGUUACUCGCAGAAUAAGCACCGGCUAACUCUGUGCCAGCAGCCGCAGUAA